ensembl:snoRNA
UGGUUGGCGAUGAUGCAACCGCUGCACAAUCUGAGUUUUGGGAACCAGAUGAUGGAGUGUGAGCUAAGCAUGAACUGAGAUGG